AAAAUGUUUAUUUUUUUGUACCGUUUUGUUUUAAUUGCUGCUCAGAGUGCGCUGUUCUUUCAGUAAAUAGCAUUUCUGUGAGUUUGUAUAUUCUAAUUAACGAUUACUUGGUUACAAAAUUGGUUGACAAUUAUUUCAAUAAUCGAUUAAUCAUGAUUAAUCGUUUCAGUCCUAUUGUUAUCUCCAAUUAAAUCUAGCUAAGCAGUCAUGUUGCAAUAGGUUACUAAUUUAUUUCUCAAUGAGAUUUAUCCUGUAUAGAUAAAGGUCAAACAAAGCCAAAUAAACAGCUUGUAAAUGUGGGCGGAGCCUAAACCAGCCGCCGCCGCCGCCGCCGCAGAAGUCUGGUAGCUGCAGCAGCGGCGCGCUUAUGUAACAGCAGCUUCCAUCCUGCUGCUCAACAGAUUAAAACCAGAGUGGAUUAACACACACACACACACAGACCACAGUUGACCUACAUUUACCAAACAUACGCCUCUUUAUUUCUGCAUGUGCAAGCUUGUCGUGUUGAUGUGUGUGUGUGUGUGUGUGUGUGUGUGUGGGAGUGUUGGGAUUACUCCGCCGUUGUGUUUGCUGUGAGUGUGGCGCUAAUCUGCAGCGAAAGAAACACAACAGCAUCUUUUUAUAGCUGCUUCCCAACAUGGAGGCGAUGACUUUUAUCCAUCUGGGACGAGAAAAAUUAAUUAGAUUCAUGGAAAUAUUCUUUUGAUGUCGCCUCGCACUUGAUGCCUGCAGCAUAUUUAAAAAAAAUGAGGACAGAAUCAAGCGAAUAUUAACAAAAUAAACCUCCCACGUAUAAUUAGGUUAAUUGUUAGCUGGUCGGAAACAUAAUUAGACAUGAAAAAGGAGAAUUUGGUGAGGUUUAGUCUUUAGGAGUUUUAACACAUCUUGAACUGCAUUUACAGAAAAAUAAAACAUUUUCUGUUUUAAAGCUUAGAAAAACCCAGAAAUGUCUGAAGAAAAGCUGAAAUGAUUCUCAGGAUCACAAUAAAAACAAACUUUAAGGUGAAAAUAUCUGCAAAUCCUGAGAAACACAAGAGAGGAUAAAACAUGGUGAAGAAUAAUCUAAAGUAAAAACUGAAACAUUUGGAAUCAGUCGGGAUGAAAGAGACCCAGAAACCACCGAGGCUCAGUCCAUAAUCCUGGGUCUGUCUCCAGAGCCAGAGCCUUCACAGCGGCCGGCAGCCAAACUUCACAGACAGACGAGAAAGAAUCCAGAAAAGGUUCAGCAGCUUCUGUGUGGAAAAAUAAUCACUAGACAAAAAUCAUGUAAAAUAAAUGAUGAGCAGCUGAGCUCAGCAUAAAACAAACACGUCCAAGAACAAAAUUUAAACGCAAUUAUAAAACCGCACAUCUUUGAAAAGCAAAAGUAGAGCCUCCUGCACAACCAACAAGAACGCAGAAAGUGGUUUCUGGAUGACAAGUCAGCAACAAAACUCUUGUCUUUUCCUGCAGCCAUUGUACAGUGAAUACAGCUGACCAAACGGGCUGGAGCUCAGCUUGGGUUGCUAGGUAACAGUGAUUUGAUUGGGAAGUUUUGAAAUGGUUAGUUUUCCAGACACAGAAAAACCUGAACUUAUUGCCUGAAAAGCAGCUGGGUGUUUUUAUGCUUUAGCUGCUUUUAGAAGCAGCAGAAACCCAAAUGGAAGAA